rnacentral:lncRNA from 1 species
UUUGGUUCUCAAUGAUACCCUCCCUACGAUCCUCAAAGUGAUCUUAUUGAGAUCCUGCAAACAACGUGGUUUGGCUAGUCGGUACUGAAGAAAACCGGGCUAUAGUUUCACCCUAUCUGCUUCGUACAUCUCUACCACAUGGAAACACGUAACAUAGGUGGUUGUAGACCAUAUCUCGCUUUUUUCCUAGAUUGGGAGAUUGCAACCCGAAAUAAGACCUCCACUUGAACUAAUACAUGAG